rnacentral:sRNA from 27 species
AUGAAUGAUAUCAAGGCGGAUCGCCCGAUCCGGGGGAUUACCUGUUAACACAGGCGGCGGCAUUGAAUGUCCAACCGUUCCCCGUCAUACCUCAACCGCUGUCGCCCCGGCGCACAGAUAUCGUUCC